rnacentral:rRNA from 1 species
UUAAGUGGCGGACGGGUGAGUAACGCGUGGGUAACCCGCCUUGUACUGGGGGACAACAGUUGGAAACGACUGCUAAUACCGCAUAAGCGCACAGCUUCGCAUGAAGCAGUGCGAAAAACUCCGGUGGUACAAGAUGGACCCGCGUCUGAUUAGCUGGUUGGUGAGGUAACGGCCCACCAAGGCGACGAUCAGUAGCCGGCCUGAGAGGGUGAACGGCCACAUUGGGACUGAGACACGGCCCAA